AGAGUUUGAUCAUGGCUCAGGGUAAACGCUGGCGGCGUGCCUAAAACAUGCAAGUCGAACGCCCCACUUCGGUGGGGAGUGGCAGACGGCUGAGUAACGCGUGGGUGACCUGCCUGGAGGUGGGGAAUAACUGCCCGAAAGGGUGGCUAAGACCGCAUACGCUCCCCCGUUCAAUCGAGGGAGCAAAGUCCUUUGGGAUGCCUCUAGAGGGGCCCGCGUUCGAUUAGCUGGUUGGUGGGGUAACGGCCUACCAAGGCGACGAUCGAUAGCUGGUCUCAGCGGAUGAUCAGCCAGACUGGGACUGAGAGACGGCCCAGACUCCUACGGGAGGCAGCAGUUAGGAAUUUUGGGCAAUGGGCGCAAGCCUGACCCAGCAACGCCGCGUGGGUGACGACGGCCUUCGGGUUGUAAAGCCCUUUUCUGGGGGACGAUGAUGACGGUACCCCAGGAAGAAGCACCGGCUAACUACGUGCCAGCAGCCGCGGUAAUACGUAGGGUGCGAGCGUUGCCCGGAUUUAUUGGGCGUAAAGGGCGCGUAGGCGGCUCCGUACGUCCCGCGUGAAAGCUCCCGGCUCACCUGGGAGAGGUCGCGGGAUACGGCGGGGCUGGAGCACGGUAGGGGGCCAUGGAAUUCCCGGUGUAGUGGUGGAAUGCGUAGAGAUCGGGAGGAACACCAGUGGCGAAGGCGGUGGCCUGGACCGAUGCUGACGCUGAGGCGCGAAAGCGUGGGGAGCGAUCCGGAUUAGAUACCCGGGUAGUCCACGCCGUAAACGAUGUCGACUAGGUGUCGGGGGUAUCGACCCCCUCGGCGCCGCCGCUAACGCAUUAAGUCGACCGCCUGGGGACUACGGCCGCAAGGCUAAAACUCAAAUGAAUUGACGG
rnacentral:rRNA from 1 species